UUGGAGGGCAAGUCUGGUGCCAGCAGCCGCGGUAAUUCCAGCUCCAAUAGCAUAUACUAAAGUUGUUGCGGUUAAAAAGCUCGUAGUUGAAAUUGUGUCCUGCGGUGUCGGUCUACCGAUUGCGGUACGACGGGCACGUCUGCGGGGCUUCUCGCCGGUGCGUCCACCGCCGGCUUGUGUCGGUCGGCCUCACGGUCGGCCGCGCAACGAGGCGGACCGUCGCGGCUGUUUACUUUGAACAAAUUAGAGUGCUCAAAGCGGGCUAACACUCGCCUGAAUAUUGUACGCAUGGAAUAAUAGAAUAGGACCUCGGUUCUGUUUUGUUGGCUUUCUGAUACCAGAGGUAAUGAUUAAUAGGGACAACUGGGGGCAUUCGUAUUGCGACGUUAGAGGUGAAAUUCUUGGAUCGUCGCAAGACGGACUAAAGCGAAAGCAUUUGCCAAAGGUGUUUUCAUUAAUCAAGAACGAAAGUUAGAGGUUCGAAGGCGAUUAGAUACCGCUGUAGUUCUAACCAUAAAUGAUGCCAGCCAGCGAUCCGCCGAAGUUUCAUAAUUUUAACCCGGUGGGCAGCUCCCGGGAAACCAAAGCUUUCGGGCUCCCGGGGGAGUAUGGUUGCAAAGCUGAAACUUAAAGGAA
rnacentral:rRNA from 1 species